rnacentral:rRNA from 1 species
AUUGAACGCUGGCGGCAGGCCUAACACAUGCAAGUCGAACGGUAACAGGAAGCGGGUUGCUGCUUCGCUGAGGAGUGUCGGGCGGGUGAGUGGAGUCUAGCAAGCUGUCCGAUGGAGGGGGGGAAAACCUGGAAACGGUAGCUAUUAUAGCACAUAGUCGCAACGCGUAAGAGCGGGGCAUCUUCGGCCCUUGCGCUCUUGUAUGAGCCGAUGUGGGAUUAGCUAGUUGGUGGGGUAAAGGCCCACCAAGGCGACGAUCCGUAGCUGGUCUGAGAGGAUGACCAGCCACACUGGAACUGAGACACGGUCCAGACUCCUACGGGAGGCAGCAGUGGGGAAUAUUGCACAAUGGGCGCAAGCCUGAUGCAGCCAUGCCGCGUGGAUGAAGAAGGCCUUCGGGUUGUAAAGUACUUUUGGCGGGGAGGAAAAGAGGAAAGUUAAUACCUUGCCGUAUUGACGUUACCCGAAGAAGAAGCACCGGCUAACUCCGUG